rnacentral:pre_miRNA from 1 species
CAUUUCAGGUGAGGAUUAGAGGGAACUGAACCAAAUCCUUGGGAACAAAACAAGUGAUGAGGGUUCAGUUUCCUCUAAUAUCUCACCUUGAUUGG